rnacentral:rRNA from 1 species
CCUACGGGAGGCAGCAGUAGGGAAUAUUGGACAAUGGGUGCGAGCCUGAUCCAGCCAUGCCGCGUGCAGGAAGACGGCCUUAUGGGUUGUAAACUGCUUUUGCCAGGGGAUAAAAAGAGCGUGCGCGCUUUAUUGAAGGUACCUGGUGAAUAAGCCACGGCUAACUACGUGCCAGCAGCCGCGGUAAUACGUAGGUGGCAAGCGUUGUCCGGAUUUAUUGGGUUUAAAGGGUGCGUAGGCGGUCAUAUAAGUCAGUGGUGAAAUACUUCAGCUCAACUGGAGAGGUGCCAUUGAUACUGUAUGACUUGAGUACAGACGAGGUAGGCGGAAUUGACGGUGUAGCGGUGAAAUGCUUAGAUAUCGUCAAGACCACCGAUAGCGAAGGCAGCUCCGUAGACUGUAACUGACGCUGAUGCACGAAAG